UACGGAGGGCGCAAGCGUUGUUCGGACUCACUGGGCGUAAAGCGCGUGUAGGCGGCUCUGAAAGUCGGGUGUGAAAUCCCGAGGCUCAGCUUCGUAACUGCACUCGAUACUGCUUGGCUCGAGUCCCGGAGAGGGUGGCGGAAUUCCCGGUGUAGGGGUGAAAUCCGUAGAUAUCGGGAGGAACACUAGUGGCGAAGGGGGCCACUUGGACGGUGACUGACGCUGAGACGCGAAAUCGUGGGGAGCAAACAGG
rnacentral:rRNA from 1 species